GGAGGGAAACCGAGUCUUAAUUGGGCGUUAAGUUGCAGGGUAUAGACCCGAAACCCGGUGAUCUAGCCAUGGGCAGGUUGAAGGUUGGGUAACACUAACUGGAGGACCGAACCGACUAAUGUUGAAAAAUUAGCGGAUGACCUGUGGCUGGGGGUGAAAGGCCAAUCAAACCGGGAGAUAGCUGGUUCUCCCCGAAAGCUAUUUAGGUAGCGCCUCGUGAAUUCAUCUCCGGGGGUAGAGCACUGUUUCGGCCAGGGGGCCAUCCCGGCUUACCAAUCCGAUGCAAACUGCGAAUACCGGAGAAUGUUAUCACGGGAGACACACGGCGGGUGCUAACGUCCGUCGUGAAGAGGGAAACAACCCAGACCGCCAGCUAAGGUCCCAAAGUCAUGGUUAAGUGGGAAACGAUGUGGGAAGGCCCAGACAGCCAGGAUGUUGGCUUAGAAGCAGCCAUCAUUUAAAGAAAGCGUAAUAGCUCACUGGUCGAGUCGGCCUGCGCGGAAGAUGUAACGGGGCUAAACCAU
rnacentral:rRNA from 2 species